AAACGUAGGAGGCGAACGUUAUCCGGAUUUACUGGGCGUAAAGCGCGCGCAGGCGGCUUCGUAAGUCCGACGUGAAAGCUCCCGGCUCAACUGGGAGAGGUCGUCGGAUACUGCGGAGCUUGAGGGUAGGAGAGGGAAGUGGAAUUCCCGGUGUAGCGGUGGAAUGCGUAGAUAUCGGGAGGAACUCCAGUGGCGAAGGCGACUUCCUGGCCUACACCUGACGCUGAGGCGCGAAAGCGUGGGGAGCGAACAGGAUUAGAAACCCCAGUAGUCC
rnacentral:rRNA from 1 species